rnacentral:rRNA from 1 species
AUUGAACGCUAACGGCAUGCUUAACACAUGCAAGUCGAACGGCAGCACAGUAGUAGCAAUACUAUGGGUGGCGAGUGGCGGACGGGUGAGUAAUACAUAGGAAUCUGCCUUGUAGUGGGGGAUAACCCGGGGAAACUCGGGCUAAUACCGCAUAAUCUUUACGAAGCAAAGUGGGGGACCGUAAGGCCUUACGCUAUAAGAUGAGCCUAUGUCGGAUUAGCUAGUUGGUGGGGUAAAGGCCUACCAAGGCAACGAUCCGUAGCUGGUCUGAGAGGAUGAUCAGCCACACUGGAACUGAGACACGGUCCAGACUCCUACGGGAGGCUGCAGUCGAGAAUCUUUCGCAAUGGGCGCAAGCCUGACGAAGCGACGCCUCGUGAGUGAUGAAGGCCUACGGGUUGUAAAGCUCUUUUGUCGGGGAACAAGAGAAGGGGACGAAUAGUCUUCUAAUUCGAGGGUACCCGAAGAAUAAGCACCGGCUAACUCCGUGCCAGCAGCAGCCGCGG